rnacentral:rRNA from 1 species
GGAGUUAGCCGGUGCUUCUUCUGCGAGUAACGUCACAGAUGUAAGGUAUUAACUUACACCCUUUCCUCCUCGCUGAAAGUGCUUUACAACCCGAAGGCCUUCUUCACACACGCGGCAUGGCUGCAUCAGGGUUUCCCCCAUUGUGCAAUAUUCCCCACUGCUGCCUCCCGUAGGAGUCUGGGCCGUGUCUCAGUCCCAGUGUGGCUGAUCAUCCUCUCAGACCAGCUAGGGAUCGUCGCCUAGGUGAGCCUUUACCUCACCUACUAGCUAAUCCCACCUGGGCUUAUCCAUCAGCGCAAGGCCCGAAGGUCCCCUGCUUUCCCCCGUAGGGCGUAUGCGGUAUUAGCAGUCGUUUCCAACUGUUAUCCCCCACAAAUGGGCAAAUUCCCAGGCAUUACUCACCCGUCCGCCGCUCGUCAUCUUCAAAAGCAAGCUUUUGAAAUGUUACCGCUCGACUUGCAUGUGUUAGGCCUGCCGCCAGCGUUCAAUCUGAACCAGAUCAACUCUGA